GGGAUGCUAAGUCAGGAAAGUACUUGCUUUGCAAGCAGGACGACCUGAGUUUGAUCCUCAGAGCCCA
rnacentral:tRNA from 1 species